rnacentral:rRNA from 1 species
AUUGAACGCUGGCGGCAGGCCUAACACAUGCAAGUCGAGCGAGCGGCGGACGGGUGAGUAAUGUCUGGGAAACUGCCUGAUGGAGGGGGAUAACUACUGGAAACGGUAGCUAAUACCGCAUACCAUCAGAUGUGCCCAGAUGGGAUUAGCUAGUAGGUGGGGUAACGCCUCACCUAGGCGACGAUCCCUAGCUGGUCUGAGAGGAUGACCAGCCAAACUGGAACUGAGCCACGGCCCAGACUCCUACGGGAGGCAGCAGGGGGAAAUAUUGCACAAGGAGCGCAAGCCGGAUGCAGCCAUGCCGCGUGGGUGAAGAAGGCCUUCGGGUUGUAAAGCACUUUCAGCGGGGAGGCGUUACCCGCAGAAGAAGCACCGGCUAACUCCGUGCCAGCAGCCGCGGUAAUUC